GUCUAUGGCCAUGCUACCCUGAACAAGCCCGAUCCUGUCUGAUCUCGGAAGCUAAGCAGGGUUGGGCCUGGUUAGUACUUUAAUGGGAGACCAGGUGUUGUAGGCC
rfam:Pteropus alecto contig22275, whole genome shotgun sequence.